ACUGGUUUGGUCAAAAAUUUCGUUCGGGUUUUUCCGUUAAGAUGUAACGGAAAAACCCGAAUGAACUUUUGGGCCAACCCA
rnacentral:miRNA from 1 species